rnacentral:rRNA from 1 species
GAUGAACGCUAGCUACAGGCUUAACACAUGCAAGUCGAGGGGAAACGAUAUUGGAAGCUUGCUUCCGAUAGGCGUCGACCGGCGCACGGGUGAGUAACGCGUAUCCAACCUGCCCAUCACUUGGGGAUAGCCUUGCGAAAGUAAGACUAAUACCCAAUGAUAUCCGUCGAAGACAUCUGAAGUGGAUUAAAGAUUCAUCGGUGAUGGAUGGGGAUGCGUCUGAUUAGCUUGUUGGCGGGGUAACGGCCCACCAAGGCAACGAUCAGUAGGGGUUCUGAGAGGAAGGUCCCCCACAUUGGAACUGAGACACGGUCCAAACUCCUACGGGAGGCAGCAGUGAGGAAUAUUGGUCAAUGGACGAGAGUCUGAACCAGUCAAGUAGCGUGCAGGAUGACGGCCCUAUGGGUUGUAAACUGCUUUUAUAAGGGAAUAAAGUGGGAGUCGUGACUCCUUUUGCAUGUACCUUAUGAAUAAGGACCGGCUAAUUCCGUGCCAGCCGCCGCGGUAA